rnacentral:rRNA from 1 species
UACACAUGCAAGUCGAGGGGUAUGCUUCUUCGGGAGCAGAGACGGCGCACGGGUGCUGUAACGCGUAUGCAAUCUACCUUUGUACAGAGGGAUAGCCCAGAGUAAAUUUCGGAUUAAUACCUCAAUAGUAUGCAGAGUUGGCAUCAACACUGCAUUAAAGUCACAACGGUAAAAGAUGAGCAUGCGUCCCAUUAGCUAGUUGGUCAAGGUAACGGCUUACCAAGGCUACGAUGGGUAGGGGUCCUGUAGUAGGGAGAUCCCCCACACUGGUACUGAGACACGGACCAGACUCCAUACGGGAGGCAGCAGUGAGGAAUAUUGGACAAUGGGCGCAAGCCUGAUCCAGCCAUGCCGCGUGCAGGAUGACGGUCCUAUGGAUUGUCAACUGCUUUUGCACAGGAAGAAACAACUCUACGUGUAGAGUCUUGACGGUACUGUGAGAAUAAGGAUCGGCUAACUCCGUGCCAGCAGCCGCGGUAAUACGGAGGAAUCCAAGCGUAAUCCGGAAUCAUCGAGGUUUCAAAGGGUCCGAAGGCGGAAAUGGUAAGUCAGU